rnacentral:tRNA from 1 species
GCCUGAGUGGUGAAAUUGGUAGACGCAGGGGACUCAAAAUCCCCCGCCGCAAGGCGUGCCGGUUCGAUUCCGGCCUCAGGCACCA